UGCCUAACACAUGCAAGUCGACCGGCAGCAUGAUCUAGCUUGCUAGAUUGAUGGCGAGUGGCGCACGGGUGAGUAAUGCGUAGGGAUAUACCUUAAAGUGGGGGAUAACCUGGGGAAACUCAGGCUAAUACCGCAUGAGCUCUUAGGAGGAAAGCUGGGGACCCGUAAGGGCCUGGCGCUUUAAGAUUAGCCUACGUCCGAUUAGCUAGUUGGUGGGGUAAAGGCUUACCAAGGCGACGAUCGGUAGCUGGUCUGAGAGGAUGAUCAGCCACACUGGGACUGAGACACGGCCCAGACUCCUACGGGAGGCAGCAGUGGGGAAUAUUGGACAAUGGGGGCAACCCUGAUCCAGCGAUGCCGCGUGUGUGAAGAAGGCCUGCGGGUUGUAAAGCAC
rnacentral:rRNA from 1 species